rnacentral:rRNA from 1 species
GAUGAACGCUGGCGGCGUGCCUAAUACAUGCAAGUCGAGCGAACAGACGAGGAGCUUGCUCCUCUGACGUUAGCGGCGGACGGGUGAGUAACACGUGGAUAACCUACCUAUAAGACUGGGAUAACUUCGGGAAACCGGAGCUAAUACCGGAUAAUAUAUUGAACCGCAUGGUUCAAUAGUGAAAGACGGUUUUGCUGUCACUUAUAGAUGGAUCCGCGCCGCAUUAGCUAGUUGGUAAGGUAACGGCUUACCAAGGCGACGAUGCGUAGCCGACCUGAGAGGGUGAUAGGCCACACUGGAACUGAGACACGGUCCAGACUCCUAAGGGAGGCAGCAGUAGGGAAUCUUCCGCAAUGGGCGAAAGCCUGACGGAGCAACGCCGCGUGAGUGAUGAAGGUCUUCGGAUCGUAAAACUCUGUUAUUAGGGAAAAACAAAUGUGUAAGUAACUAUGCACGUCUUGACGGUACCUAAUCAGAAAGCCACGGCUAACUACGUG